AGAGGAGAAGCAGAAGCUAGGGCUGAUGGGCGCUGAAGAGGAGCGAGCGAUGUUUGUUUGGCCAGAUCGACCCCAAGGGGCUGGAGAAAUGGGCUCCCUGUGAGCCUCUGCAUCUGGCCCAACGGGUUAGAGGCAGUCCGAAGGGAAACCUGUGAGAGUUGUGAAGGUUUACAGACACUCGAGUAGCCAGGAUCCGGGCGAGACCGUACACCGCAGCCCGGACAGAGCCGCCCGCACCCCGGCCGCACCAGGCUUCGGUAGGCUCGUUACCUUCCUCGCUGAAGGGCGCUGGGAGCCCAAGGAAGCCGCCGGAGGACAAGGCCGCCGCCGCCGCAACCCCGCCCUCGCCCGCUUCACGCCCGGCUUCGGCCCGGGCUUCUGCCGUAUGAGCGGCCGUCACCCGCACUGCCAUCGCGCCCUCCAUGUCGCAACGCGCCACAGGAAGAUGGCGGAUUUACGACCAUGUCGUCAUAACAACGGGCCGCACCGAGGGCUGCGUGUCCGACAGGCAGGGGGCGGGACAAAAACGAAUUUGACGGACAGGCAAAAAGGCGGGGCUAUGGGUUGCGGUCUAGCGCGUCAGUAGAGGUGGAGCUUGGCUCUUUGAGAGCCAUCAGCGCCAGACAUCAGGGCGGAAGUGGGCGUGGCUUGUGUUAAAUUGGCAGGACUUGGUCCAAAGUGAACUAUCCGUGGAGUAAGAACUCUCCCUUUCUCUCACUUUUUUAAAAAAAGAUUUAUUUACUUUAUGUAUAUGAGUACAUGUACAGCUGGUUGUGAGCCUUCAUAUGGUUGUUGGGAAUUGAAUUUUUAGGACCUCUGCUUGCUCCGGUUGCUCUGGUUGCCCCACUUGCUCAGGUCAACUCCACUUGCUCAGUCCCUGCUCGCUCAGGCCUAAAGAUUUAUUCAUUAAGUACACUGUAGCUAUCUUCAGACGCAUCAGAAGAGGGCGUCAGAUCUCUUUACAGGUGGUUGUGAGCCACCAUGUGGUUGCUGGAAUUUGAACUCAGGACCUUCAAAAGAGCAGUCAGUGUUCUUAACCGCUGAGCCAUCUCUCCAACCCCUUCUCUCACUUUUUUGUUUUGUUUUUUUAAUGUAGUAUGGUUUGUCUGCAUACAUGUCUGUGCACCACGUGCAUGCCUAGCGCCCGUGGGGCCCAGAAGAGGGUGUCUGACCUGGAACUGGAAUUACAGAUGAAGUUACAUGUAGGUGUUGGGAAAUGAACCUAGAUACACAGCCAAUGUGUUCUUAGCCGCCCAGAGAAUCUGAACUCUUUAGGGUUGCUACCCAAUAUAGAAUCCUGGACUCAGACCUGGGUUGCAAUGUCAGAAUUUCCUGGGCAUGAGAAAGAACUCCAUUUGGAGAUAGUUCGAGUGCUCCUUUCCAAAGACUUUUUUUGUAAAGAUUUAUUUUAUGUAUAGGAGUACACUGUAGCUGUACAGAUGGUUGUGAGCCUUCAUGUGGUUGUUGGAUAUUGAAUUUAGGACCUCUGCUUGCUCUAGUCAACCUCGCUCAUUCAGUCUGUACUCACUCUGGCCCAAAGAUUAUUUAUUAUAAGUACACUGUAGCUGUCUUCAGACACAACAAAAGAGGGCGUCAGAUCUCAUUACAGGUGGUUGUGAGCCACCAUGUGGUUGCUGGGAUUUGAACUCAGGACCUUCAGAACAGUCAGUGCUCUUACCCACUGAGCCAGCGAGCCAGCCCCAAGACUUUUAUUCGGUAUAUGAAAAGUAUUGAAAAGUAUACAUAAAAGUGACCAUUUGUGACAUUUAGUACACCGACUGAGUUGAGCGCUUAUCACCAAAAUUGGUUAACUGAUUGGUUCAUUGGUCGAUUUGAGACAGGGUCUGGCUUUGUAGCUCCCUGUGGCCAGUAACUCGGUGGCCCCGGUAACUUGGUGCUGGGAAUAUGCCUGACUUAGUUCUAGAACAUUUUCAUCAUCAAAACCUGUACUGACUGUAGCUCAUUUUGGUAGCCAGCUCACCUAUCAAGCACAAAAUGAAUAAAAUAAAAUAAAAAAUGAACAGAGUAUCUCAGGUUAAUCCCAACAUUUGGGGGAUGAUCCUUAGCUAAAUAGGGAGUUCAAAGCCAGCCUAAGACAUAAGAGAAGGGGGAGAAGAGAGAGAAACAGAAAGUGAGUUAUUGAAUAAUAUUGAAAUGCAUCGUAUAAACAAUGCAUUUAUAUUUCAUUUACAGUCAACUUGUAUCUAUCAUUUUGGCUAAUAUAAAGUGUUGCUCUG
rnacentral:lncRNA from 1 species